rnacentral:lncRNA from 1 species
GACAUUUCUGGACUGACCUGCUAGAGGAAGAUAGAAAGACAUAGUGCCACUGGACAUUUCAUUUUGGCCUACAGUAACCAACACCCACAGAAUGGAACUGCCCAUGGGUACCCUUAGUGGGAAACAGGGAUAAAAAUGAAACUACUGCUUUCUCAACACCUACCGUGUGCCCGGAAAUGUUAACUCAUUUCAGUGAGAUGGUGAUGUUGGGGCCAGCAUUCAAGCCAGCCUCCAGCCUGACUUGGAAGCUCUGGGUGUUCACACCACCUGGCAGUGCCUCCAAAGACAGCCUUUAACCCUGCUUCCUCGUCUGGCCACACUCCUCACCCACUCCAGCGCCGAGUCUGACCCCAAAACAUCUCUGCGAGGGCAGACCUCCAUGUUACAAAGUCCGGGAGACACUUUCCAACCUCACCUUACUUGCCCCUCUCAGCAGCUUGGCAUCUGUGUGGCUGCGGGUCUCCUGGGUUUCCUCCUGCCUACCUGGCCACACCUUUUCAGGCAGGGCUCAGCGGGGACACUUCUGUUCUGCUGGGCAUCCGCUGGGGAAGCUGGAAGGCUGCAGCAAGAUCAUCUGAAGAUUCACUCACAUGCCUGGCUGUUGGCUGAAAACUUAGAAUAUGUACAGGUGGCCUCCCCAUGUGGCCUUGGCUUCCUGACAACACGGCGGCUGGUUUUCAAGGGUGAGUAUGGACAGAAAGAGAGAGAGAAGCUGAACUGCUGCAAUGACCUACCCUGGGAAGAUUAGGCUUGCGCCACAUUCUGUCCACCUAGUCGUCUCAAGAUCCCACUCAGUUUCAAUGGGAUGAGGAAAUAUCCAACUCUUGAUUGGAAAGGUUCUGGAAGAGCAUGUGGAAAAGAAACUAUGGCCAUGGCCACGUUUGAAAAAUACAAGCUACCACAAGAGUGGGGAAUGGUCCAGUUUACUUUUUUUUUUUCUAAUGUCUCCCCUUUUUUUUUUUAAUGACUUAAACCUUUCAGUUCCCCUAAGGGCUUAGGAUUCAGGACACAAAGUCCAGUGACUUUUCUGCUUUCUGCUUUGUCAUGGUCCUCCUGAGGAAAUAAGGACCUCAGUUAACAUCUAGCAAGUAACACCAACCAGGUGGAAAAGUGCUCUGAGAGCCACCCUGGCCUGAGGAAUUGGGAAGCUGGGAAGGGAGGAGGAAGGAGAAAGUGGCCAGAUGUGGAAGAGACAGGUAGGGCAAUGAGGGACAGAGGGACGUCAGGGUAGAUGCUUAGUGCUCCAUGCAGGGAGGGAACAGCAUGUGCAAAGCUGCUAAAGGAAAAAAAGAAGAAGUCAGCAUUGAGACAGAGCUGAGAGA